ensembl:snRNA U6 U6 spliceosomal RNA
GUGCUCACUUUAGCAGCACACAUACUAAAACUGGAAUGAUACAGAGAAGAUUAGCAUGGCCGUUGCGCAAGGAUGACAUGCAAAUUCGUGAAGCAUUCCAUAUUUUU